AUCCAAAUAAACAAGGGCUUUUCUUCCUUACAACGUACUUCCCCCAUGACUUUUAGAAUUUCUUGUUCAGGAUAUAUCUUGACAAAUUAUCUUAAUCCCUCCAUUUCUGCUACCAGUCAAACAACCACCCUUUAUUAUGUUUCCCGUUAAUAUGACUACUGACUGGUAUGAUGAUCCAGGCAUUUAUGCUCUACAAUUAAUUUCCCAUAAUUUAAGUUGCCCUAAGUGCUUCAUUGCAUCCCUUAUCCUGGGUAUCACCGCACUUCGACGACUGCUCCUGUCCAGGAAGUCUACACUGCACGACAUAUAGAUAAUCUUUCAAAAAAUGUCUCCCUUGCUCUUUUAACCCAGGAACACAUAGACAAAGGGUUAGAAGCUUGUAUAAAUGUCCUGGAAGAAGCCAUUCUUUAUGUUGGAAAUCAGUUACAAAAUACCAAAUCAUCAUCCAAUAUCUAGAUUCUACCAUUCAUCAAGUUCAAAUCGAACUGAAGUCACUCUAGCUAAAAAACAGAAAAGGGGAAGAUGCUGGGGGCUGCCUGACAUGGUCGCACGUGGAAACCAGGGUUGCAAAGCGACCCUCCGGAAAGAUGAGACACCCACUCAGCCCCUCCUUUUUUUUCAUGUGACUUUUCCCAUUAACUUUCCUUACUAUUGGAAUUGGUAUGAUUGUUGUUCUCUCCCCAGUUUCAGGAGAAAUAAUAUGAGAGCAAAUACUCGCAGGAUUAAUACAUAUGUCCCAUUUUUAAUCCCCCCAGAAUACCACCCCAAAGUUCCACCCCAAAGAUCUUAUUCACAGAAUUAAAACCUAAAGAAUUUUUUAUGUACCCACUACCCUCCUCUUUUCUUUUAGUUAGCAGAAUCACACUUAGAUUCCCAACAGCCAUUACAAGCCAGGCAUGUCAGGAACAUCACUCACCUUUCAAGCCCAGACUGAUAGGACAUACUUCAUUGAUUUGUUGUGUUUACAAUAGCCAGAGCAACGUCACUAGAUGCUUGAAUGAAACAUAGAAAAAUGUAACUUGGACAUUGGAAAAUACCUAAUUCUGGCUUUUAUUAAAUUUACUCUUUAAUCCUGUACCUAGCAGCAAAUGUUUUUGUUACUUAUAUCUUAAGUAAUUCUGAUUGAUUAUGAAAGCCAAUUAAAAGCAACAAUGAUUCUCUUAGCUGGUCAUCCCACAGGUCAGUGGGAACUGACCCCUGGUUACCCUGCCUGUGUCAUUAAACUAUUUGUUAAAAGCUAAUGUGGGACAUAUCCAAUUAUCUGCAAGAAAUUAUGUAUGUUGAAAAAUGAGACUGUGUACCAAGAAAAAAUGUAAUCACUAGGUAUAAAAAUAAAGAUGACUGUGCCAAGCA
rnacentral:lncRNA from 1 species